CAGUCGCCACGGGAAUACGAAGGGGGCUAGCGUUGUUCGGAAUUACUGGGCGUAAAGGGCGCGUAGGCGGCCAUUCAAGUUAGAUGUGAAAGCCCUGGGCUCAACCUAGGAAUUGCAUUUGAUACUGUUUGGCUUGAGUUCGGGAGAGGUGAGUGGAAUUCCCAGUGUAGAGGUGAAAUUCGUAGAUAUUGGGAAGAACACCAGUGGCGAAGGCGGCUCACUGGACCGACACUGACGCUGAGGCGCGAAAGCGUGGGGAGCAAACAGGAUUAGAUACCCCCGUAGUCCCUGUCUCUUAUAC
rnacentral:rRNA from 1 species